CCUANGGGAGGCAGCAGUGGGGAAUUUUCCGCAAUGGGCGAAAGCCUGACGGAGCAAUACCGCGUGAGGGAUGAAUGCCUAUGGGUUGUAAACCUCUUUUUUCAGGGAGGAACAAAAUGACGUGUACCUGAAGAAUAAGCAUCGGCUAACUCCGUGCCAGCAGCCGCGGUAAGACGGAGGAUGCAAGUGUUAUCCGGAAUCACUGGGCGUAAAGCGUCUGUAGGUGGUUUAAUAAGUCAACUGUUAAAUCUUGAGGCUCAACCUCGAAACCGCAGUCGAAACUAUUAGACUAGAGUAUAGUAGGGGUAAAGGGAAUUUCCAGUGGAGCGGUGAAAUGCGUAGAGAUUGGAAAGAACACCGAUGGCGAAGGCACUUUACUGGGCUAUUACUAACACUCAGAGACGAAAGCUAGGGUAGCAAAUGGGAUUAGAUACCCCUNUANUC
rnacentral:rRNA from 1 species